AAUGAACGUUGGCGGCGUGGAUUAGGCAUGCAAGUCGAGCGAGAAUGGUUUGGUAGCUUGCUAUUGAACCAGGAAAGCGGCGAAAGGGAGAGUAACGCGUAGUUACGUGCCCCAGGGUUCGGAAUAGCCACGGGAAACUGUGGGUAAUGCCGAAUAACAUCUCCGGAUCAAAGGUGUGAUUCCGCCCUGGGAGCGGACUGCGUCCUACUAGCUAGUUGGCGGGGUAAUGGCCCACCAAGGCAACAAUGGGUAGCGGGUGUGAGAGCAUGACCCGUCUCACUGGGACUGAGACACUGCCCAGACACCUACGGGUGGCUGCAGUCGAGAAUCUUCGGCAAUGGGCGAAAGCCUGACCGAGCGACGCCGCGUGCGGGAUGAAGGCCCUCGGGUUGUAAACCGCUGUCGUAGGGGAGGAAGGCUUCGUGAAGAACGAGGUUUGACCUAUCCUAGGAGGAAGUACGGGCUAAGUUCGUGCCAGCCGCCGCAGUAAGAC
rnacentral:rRNA from 1 species